UACGGGAGGCAGCGAGUGGGGAAUAUUGGACGAUGGGCGAGGAGCCUGAUCCAGCAAUGCCGCGUGAGUGAUGAAGGCCUUAGGGUGUAAAGCUCUUACCAGGGAUGAUAAUGACA
rnacentral:rRNA from 1 species